CGGAGGCGCCGGCAGCCCCGCGUCGCUCUGCCGCCGCCGCGGCGAGGCGUGAGAGGCACGUUAUUGGGUGGAUGGAAGCAUCACAGGAGUCCUCCACGAAUAACAGAAAAAGCAGAGUUUUACAUAAAAUGGGUGCUGUAUUAGAAAGCAUCGACUGACAUCGGAGCUGGAACUGCCGAGUGGGAAAACUCACUUUACAGCUGAUUCUUUACAGCAAAUUUCUCGUCGCCAUUUUUAGUCCAUUUUCAACUUGCGACUCUGUUGGGAAAGCUUUGAUCUUUACCUCUGUACAAAAGGACACACACUACAGUGAGCGGAUGCAACCGAGACCAGGAAAAUUGCAGUAACUCGGAGGUUCUCAAUACAUACAAUAAUACUUCCCCCAUUUAUCUCUUUAAAAUAGAUUGAUGCUCGUCUGCCUUUUGUUUCUGCGGGUUUAAAUCAUUAACGGUCUUCGUGGAAAUACAUCCUAAUCGUGGCUACUCGCUUCAUUUCUGGGAAGGCAGCAGCAAAAUGGUCACUCUACACAAAGCAGAAUGCGACUCCCGCGUGCUGACCUUUGCACGUAGCGUGUUCUGAAUGGCAGCCCGCCUUGGACCCAACAAAUUAUUUCUGCCCGUGUUCAGUUAGGAUGGAUACGGCGUGUCCACAACCCACGGUGAAGCACUAACGCAUCUUUACGUGCUUACUCCUAAAUUAUACCAAGAAAGUAAAGUUUUCUUUUCCCUUCUAUUCUUUAAUAUAAUGGUCACAUCUGUGUUUAACACCUACCCCAAUGCAAGUUGCUGAAUGAUUAGAACCUUCUAACGCUUCAGAUGUGGUGAGUUCGUGCCGGGCAGCUUGCACGUUGCACACGUAACACGGGUACAGGUAGCAGCACCAGGGGUCACGCUGGCGCAUCUCCUGGACACCGCGCCCCUCCACACCUCGUGCUAUUUUCCUUCAUGUGAACGGAAUGCCUAAUUUUGUAAUUCCUCAGAGUGGAAAGGAAGGGGGGGAGAAUUCCACCAACUCUUGUAUUCAUUUUAUUGGUUUUAAUUGCAUUAUCACCUUUGGAGACUUUGGUAAAUUCCACUUAGCUAGCAGCCAUGGGUAGCGGUGGUGGUUUUCAAGUACAGCUCCUGUUACUCAUGUUGGCAUUUAAAUGUUAAUUUCCAACCGAGGUUUACAGUAAACACCAAACAAGGGAUUUUCUUUGAAUGAACCAUCUCAGACCAAAAUUCUAAAGGAAAGGAUCCUACCCGGGAUAUUUUUAAGCGUGGUGAUUAUUUCCUUGUGAAAGACUUAACAUUCCCUAAGUGAUAGAAGCUAAAAGAUUUACAUGUGACAGUUAAUUUAUAAUUCUCUACAUUAAAAAGACAUUUAAACGUUAACCACAUUUUUAUGUGAGUCAAGUCAAAGCAAUGAUAAUUACAGUAUGAUACAAAAGAACCUGAAAUAAACUUCCAGCAAACCAUAUUGAAUAUUAACGUCGUGUUAAGCCCCGAAAAGCUGCGUUAGUAAACUCUGGAAUUUAGAUUAUAUGCAACUUCAACAUAACAUCGGGCUUUUCUUUAAAGCACACGUCACUGCAAAGGUUGGAUCCGGGGGAGGUACGUAUUAAUUGGCUGGAUUUUUAUUAAAUACAUUUACAUAGCAUCAUGCCAAAACCAAGCCUCGGAUUACUCUUUCUGCACAGGCAUACCUCAGCGUGGGAUUUGCCAAAUUAACAUUCCAUAUAAAUUAACAGCCUUUUCUCAUGUUUGUGGUGUUACGAUGAGCAGCGUGAUACUGUAUCGUGUCGCUGCUCACGUGUAUUUGAUUUCAAUUUAGGAAUCGUAUCUCUGCUACCCACCACAUAGGAGAAACGACGUGCUGAAUUUCCCAUCAAAUAUCUUAAAUACAGACCUAUUUUAGGUGGAUUUGUAUAAACAAAACACAUAUCUCAUAUGGGCGUGGGAAAGGAAAAGCUGGUUUGGUAUAUGCUAGAGCAAACUGGAGUAAAUCAACCGCAUCCAUGGGCUGUAGCCCAUGUACCGCUCUGCUUUUCCCAGUACCAUUUGGACACAACAAUGUUACUUUUUUAUUUAAAGUGUUUUCUUCUCAACAAGGGGCCACCACUUCCCAAUCGCAAAAACACGCCCCAGAAUAUGUUAAUUAAUUGUAUUGUGCCUCUGAAAGAAAAGAGGUUGCCAAAUGCAAUAAAAAAAAAAAAAAAAAAGAGAGAGAGAGAGAGAGAGAGAGAGGUCUUUCGAUCAGAGGGCUCCGUUCCCACUGGUUACCAUCUAAUUUCAAUUCCCCACAUACGGACGUGGAAGAAAUAUAUCUGUGUAGAUUGUGACCGUGAGGAACUGCCUGAGAGCCAAAGGCCGGCGCGGCCACGCUGGGAUCUGGGCAGCCUCACGUUGCUGGAGGACGGAGGGCGCGAGCCUCGGCCCGCGGUUUGUCACCCUUACGUGGGCACUGCAGAGUGGGGAACGUGGGGCAUUUUCAUCCCGUGUUGCUUCCCAUUACGUGUAACAACGGGGCUGCUUCCCACCCCCCACAAAAAAAGAAGAAAAUUCCUACGUGCAAUACAUCAACACGUUCCACACAAACACAAAAUAAAGAGCAACAAAGAAGGGCAACGUGCAGUCUCUCCCUCUAUUUUUUUUUUUUUCCAUCUUCCCUUUCCAUCAGACGGCUUUUAAAUAGCGAUAUAUUCUGUUAGCAAAUACGAGAGCAUUAAAUGUCUUUCUGAAUGACGCUUUCUAAAUUUGCAGUUACCUUUUGAAAAUCGCCGAACGGCAAUUAACAGUAAACGCAUCUCCGGAACGCUCAGCGGGAGAGGUAAAACGGAACAAAUAAAAGCUUUUUUUUUUUUUUUUUUCUUCCCCUCGAUUUUAAAGUUAUUGCUUUUAGAUGCUACCGUGGUGGGGUUUUCCUAUUAAAUAUUUCCAGCCUCCUCAACUUCCCAGUAACAGAAAUGCGUUUUCCCACCCGAACUACAGCGGGCUUUGAUUUGGAGGAGUCCCACAAAGGAACGGAGCUCACAAAGAGCGAAAGAGGAGUCCGGAGCUGUUAUCUCACACAAUGCCCGCGAGCAGGCAACUUCCCGGGGGGCGGGGGAGUCACUGCUGAAUUAUUUUCAACGGUGAUAUCCAUUAAUAUCAUCCUUUAACUUCUUUGACUCCCGAGCUGGCAAAAUUUGGUGGUGAUACGUUAAAAAAAAAAUAAGAAAGCUUGACACCGACUCGAAUCCUUCCAAAUGCAUUUCCACUAACUUGCUAAAAACGAUCACCGUUCUCCUAGGAAGGGCUUCCUUACCCAAAUCGCACUCUCUGGAAGCCAUUCCCCCCUCGCUAACAGAAGCCCUUUCCGUGUCGAUGCGAGCCAACGUGCGGGGGCACAUUUCCCCCGCAGCAGAGCGGGGCACUUGUUGGAAACCGCCCCAGCAUCGGGUCGGGCAGCUCUGCUCCACGCGAACACGUGAGAAAGUUCUGGUCGGAACGGCGUAGCAAAACUACUGAAUUCCUAAUUAUUUUUAGGGGGAGAAAAGAAAAGAAAAAAAAAAAAGACAAACGCUUUUCCUAGAAAACAUUUUUUUGUCGCUGUUGUUUUUAAAGCCAACGUACAACAAUCGCUCGAAAAACGAAAAGAGCGAAAAAAAACCAGACUCGUGGUGCUUAUAUGGAACGGGACAAGAUUAAUCUCCAUUUUUAUAAACAGACCAUUACGACGAGUUCCUUCCAAACUUCUCUGGCUACGUUUACGAUUUCAAACGCUGCGGCUCGGAGCGGUUCCUCUCCGUCCCUGCGAGCAGAGCUGCCCACCAUCCGCCCACACACAGAUGUUAUUUACGCACGAGCCCGCCGCCGGAGCGGGGUUUUACCUUUGCAGUAACACUGAGGUACGGCCCCACAGGAGCACGGCGCUCCCGCACCGGAGCUGCCGCGCUGCCGGCCCGAGCUCCGCGGCCGCGCGGCCGGAGCUGCUCCGCUCUCCU
ensembl:lncRNA